AUUCAGUUUCCUUUUCAGUCCAGUUCUUUCUUCCGAAUUGCCUCUACAUUUCUCCCCCUUCUCUCCUUCUCUCCUUCCCAGGUCUCAUCGACGAGUUUCUUUCCCAUCCUUCGUGGCAGCCUCUGAGUCGCCUCACCUACCCUCUCUACCUCGUGGCUGUUGUUGUGCAGCUGAUGUUCAUUGGCUCUGUGGAGUUGCCUCUGUAUAGCAACCACACGAGCUUGAUCAUAGAGACAACGGGUUAUUUAUUCAUCGGUGGAAUGAUCGCUCUUUGGCUUUCGCUCGCCGUCGAGGUUCCCAUCAGCGGGCUGGAGAGAAUGCUGAUUCGUCGUCAAGACAAAACCAAGGAGGCACCGAAGAGGGAAUAAGAUGGACAGGAAUUCAAAAAUGAGUUUGUGUGUAUGUACGUGUCUCUUGAGAAUGUUACCAGACAAUUAUGGUUAAAUGUGAGAUCUUUUUGUCGUAGUCUAAGGAUCUACAAGAACAUUGAAUAUGACUUUUAUGUCGAUAUUAAAACAUAAAACUAAUUUUUA